UCGGGCAGGCAGACAAUCGCAGGCCGUAAGGCGUGAGGAAAGUCCGGGCUCCACAGGGCGAGGAUGCCAGAUAACGUCUGGUGAGGGUAACCUUAAGGAAAGUGCAACAGAAACAUACCGCCGAAACAGUUUGGCUGUGGCAAGGUUGAAAUGGUGAGGUAAGAGCUCACCGGCAGUAUGGUAACAUGCUGGCCGUGUAAACCCCAUUCGGAGCAAGACCAAAAGCGGGCAUAAAAGGCGGCUGCCCGUCGCUGCCCGGGUUGGUGGGUCGCUUGAGCCUGCUGGUGACAGCAGGUCUAGAUAGAUGAUUGUCUGAUACAGAACCCGGCUUACAGCCUGCCCGAAUAU
rnacentral:RNase_P_RNA from 1 species